UACGUAGGGGGCAAGCGUUGUCCGGAAUCAUUGGGCGUAAAGAGCGCGUAGGCGGUCCGGUAAGUCGGUUGUGAAAACUGGGGGGCUCAACCCUCAGAGGCCGACCGAUACUGUCGGGCUAGAGUCCGGAAGAGGCGAGUGGAAUUCCUGGUGUAGCGGUGAAAUGCGCAGAUAUCAGGAGGAACACCAAUGGCGAAGGCAGCUCGCUGGGACGGUACUGACGCUGAGGCGCGAAAGCGGUGGGGAGCAAACAGG
rnacentral:rRNA from 1 species